GGCCCCCUUGCAGAUGGAGGGCUCACGGGCCAGGUUCUCAUUCCUGGAGGACACCAGAGGCUCCAGGACUGCGUGGGUGGUGGGGAAGGUGCUCCCCCGACCUCAGGCACUUCCCGGGGCGGUCGUGCAACCCAGAGGCAGGUGGGGGUGGUGGAGGUGGCAGGGGAGGUGGUGGCUGCAGGGCCCAGCAGCCCCUCCUCACCCCUCCAGGGCCUCGGGCCCAGGCUGGUGCUGCCCCCCGCAGCUCUGCUUCGGACACAAGAUGCCCCGCGGGCUCCCUGCCGCCGCCCAGGCCCCAGCUUGGAUGUGCUUCCUCCCAUCUGGCCGCUGGGAGAUGUUGCCUAUUGGCCUCCGGCCCAUUGCGGGCCUGUGGACACCGGGCCGUGCCCCUUGCCCCCACGCAGCCAACCCAGGCCAGAUGUGCUAGUUCCUUCCCAGCUCAGAGCUGUCCCUGUCCCGACCUGCCCAGGGCCGCCCGCCAGCCUGCCCGCCCCCACCCGACCUGGGCCCUGGGGCACCUCGGGGAGCUCCUUCUGGCUUCCACAGCCUGCUCCCCCACCUGGUCACCCCGGCUUGGCUCCCUCUGACCACCCCCAGCACGGGGCCUACGGGGACCGUCCACUGGUCCGGGUACACGUGCAUUUACUGCGUGCGGGGUACACGGUGCGGGAGGCCUGGGGGCAUGAGGCUCCCUGGGCAGCGGGGCUAAUGAGCGUGUGGCCCGCGACCUGCUGCUCUCCCGCCGGGACAGGACCUCUGGGGCCUCAGAGGACGUCCCCAGCGCGCGGACAGCCAGCCUCGGCCCUGAGCGGGGGUGCUGGUGUGCAGCCCUUGCUCCCCGCCGCGGGCAGCGCCUGCAGACCCCGAAGGGCUGGGGGCGAGUGGCUCCUGCUCCGAGAGCCACACGCUCCUGUCACCACUUGCCACUGCGCCACAGCCGGAAGUCAGCGGCGAGCGCCAAGGCCCCCGCGUCUCUGCGCCAAUAAAACUUGGUUCAGGUUCACGGGAUCCGCAUCCCACGCGGUGCUCACGCUCCAGGAAGCAGUCUUCUCUGUGGAUUCUCUUCAACCUUCUAAAGCCGUGGAGACGCUCUUCCUGUCUCGGGGGCAGUGCUUGUCUGACUGUGUAUCCGGCAAUUCUGGCCGCACGGAUGAACUGGGGAGAGGUCACUCUUCUCAUUCUUCAAACCUCACAUCCUCGGGGAAGCCCGAUCGGCAGGCCCUCCAUACGGAGGCCUCUGCAGAACUGGCCACCCCACCUGCCCACCUUUAGCUUUGGGGCUCCUCCAGGAAAGCGUCGGUCCUGAGGCAUCUAGGCAAGUGGACGAGCUUUUGCAUGAACAGGGGAGCAAACACACACCUGAUUACAGACAGGGAUGCGGCCCAGCCCGAACUGGAACUGGAGUGUGAUACUGGGCUCUGGGUCCAGUCCAGUAAGUCUGGGAGGCCGUGCUCUGGGCAAGGCCUUGGUUGUUGGGUCACCCUGAGCAGGGACUGGUGACAGGGACACUACCAGCAGAGGACAGGGAGGAGGAGGCGCGUGAUGCUCACACGCCGAGGCAGGGGUGCCUCAUUUGUAAUGGGGGGGGCAGGAAGUGGGGCUGUAGCAGAUGUAGGGGAGCCUCUGAGCCGUAGUGGUUCUGGCCGGCCCUGGGAAGGGUCUCUGGGGUCAUGGGACCCAUGCACACAGGAUGCCAGGCUUCUCAGUUCUUCCAGAAACCAUGACAGGACUUCUGAGGAUAUUUGGGGCCGCUCUAGGGACAACAUCCCUCUUCGUUGAAGCCAACAGAGAACACUUCAUGAGCAGAUGUGUUCAGGGCCAUGUUUCGUGCCCUACGUGGUUUUCCCUCUGUCGUAGGAAUAAUUCUAAUUCUGCAUGAGGUGUAUGUCCAUAAAACCCUGCCUCUGUCAAAUGGGCUUAAUUUUUCCUUCAUUUGGCAGCUGAUGGAGUGGAGUGCAGAGGGUCUGGAUGUCAGACCCCGUCGGCGGUCAGAGCAGGAACCUGGGGACUGGCUGUAAACAGAACAUUCUGGGUCUGGGUUGUACAAGAGGUUCAGAGAAAUGCAGCUCUGGAGUUCCCAGCCUUUGGCUCCGAGUGGCGAUUCCUGGGGUCCAGCCGACCUCCGUGGGAUGCCCCAUUGCAUCCCCGACCGGGAGCCCACAGAGCCAAGCGGUCGCUGCCCACUCUAUGUGGCAGCUGCAGGGGGGUCAUCUCCGAGGCCCCCCAGUGCUGCCCUUCCUCAGUCCCUGCGGCAUAGGAGACACGGCCCUGUGCCCCCCCAGGACGAUGACAGGGUGGAUAUGGUGAAGUCAUUUACUGUCAUCCCCAGUGGGCGCUGAGCCAUGCCUGGGCUUGGAGGGCUGAUCAGCACACCUCUCACUCUCGGGAGUGCGGACACUGCUCCAACGUGGGGACAGUUUCCCAAGAGAUGAGAAGGGGGGGCAGACACCUGGGUGGCUCAGUCGGCCAAGCAUCCAACUUUUGCUCUCAGCUCAGGUCUUGAUCUCAGGGUCGUGAGUUCGAGCUCUGAGUUGGGCUCUGGGCUCAUUGGUUAGUCUCCUGGGGAUUCUCUCUCUCCCUCUGUCCACCCCUCCCACCUGCACUUGCACUCAAUCUCUCAAAUAAUAAAUAAAUAAAUAAAUAAAUAAAUAAAUAAAUAAAUAAAUCUUUUUUUAAAAAAAAGGUGAGAAAGGGAAUAUUAGCAAGGAAUGUUUCCUGAGCCCCAGUAGCAGUAGUAAGGGCCAUUCC
rnacentral:lncRNA from 1 species